CUCAAUUCAACCCUUAGUAGUCCUCACAUCCUGUCUGUUUGUCAUGGAAUGGCUGGGUUCCUGUUCUUCCUGCGGCAUUAAACAGAGAUCUUAUCCAUUGAGCUUACAAACAUAAAAUGAGCAAGCAUCUAGCAUUAGAAAUGUGCACAAAAAAGGAGAUCCUAUCUAAUUUUGGGGUCCAGGAGUGCUUAUCUGAGAAAGAGAUCUUCAAAAUGAGACUAGGAAGGAAAAGAGACAUUCUGUGCUGGGAGGAGAGCAGAGGAUCCAGGGAGCAGAUUGCAGGGAGCUUCACUGAAGCAAGAUGACCGUGAUGCUGGAGAAGAGCCCUUGAGAUGGAACAGGACAAUUCAAUGAGGUUUCUGCAUCACAGAAUGAGAAGUGAGCUUCAGAAGAACAGAGGAACUCCACAUAACAAGCUCAGUGGCACAUAAUAAGCUCUAAAACAAAUAAGUGAACAAACCUCAGACUUAUUAUUUGUAAUUGUUAGUGCUUCUAACCCCCAAUGCACUACUCUUCCCUUUAUGUUAUGCUCUGUAUUUUCAGAAAUUAUUACAAUUUGAAAUACCACUUGCUGAUGAGAGAACAUCUGUGGUGUGUGCUUAGGUUUUCCUUCCAGACAUCUGGCAGUAUCCAUGAUUUUCAAUAUCCGAGUAGCCUAAGACAGUUCAUUUUUGAACUCUAGUGCUCCUUGGAGGAAAACAAAUGAAUUUGCUUUUUUUUUUCGAACAGGCUUUGUUCCUAACUCACCAAAAGGACAGCAUAUACACAGGCACACAUGCGCACACACAGGCACACACGCACACGUUUAUACAUACGUGAACACAGGUGCAUGCACACACAUAGGCACACACACGUGUGUAAACAGGUCAUGCACACACAAGGCACACACUCACACAUGCAUACGCACGUGAACACAGGCCCAGGCACACACACGUGUAUACACAAGUGAACACAGGCACAUGAACACACAACACGUACACAUGCAUACACACGUGAACACAGGUGCAGGCACACACACGUGUGACACGUGAACACAGGCGCAUGCACACACACGGGCACACACUCACGUUUAUACACAUGUGAACACAGGUGCAUGCACACAGGCACAGACGUGCACACACUCACAUAUUUAUACACAUUUGAACACAGGUGCAUGCACACACACAGGUACACACUCACAUAUGCAUACACACGUGAACAC
rnacentral:lncRNA from 10 species